CCUACGGGUGGCAGCAGUGGGGAAUAUUGCACAAUGGGGGAAACCCUGAUGCAGCGACGCCGCGUGAAGGAAGAAGUAUUUCGGUAUGUAAACUUCUAUCAGCAGGGAAGAAAAUGACGGUACCUGACUAAGAAGCCCCGGCCAACUACGUGCCAGCAGCCGCGGUUAUACGUAGGGGGCAAGCGUUAUCCGGAUUUACGGGGUGUAAAGGGAGCGUAGGCGGUGGUGCAAGUCAGAAGUGAAAGCCCGCAGCUCAACUCCGGGACUGCUUUUGAAACUGCGUGGCUAGAGUGCAGGAGGGGCAGGCGGAAUUCCUGGUGUAGCGGUGAAAUGCGUAGAUAUCAGGAGGAACACCGGUGGCGAAGGCGGCCUGCUGGACUGCAACUGACGUUGAGGCCCGAAAGCGUGGGGAGCAAACAGGAUUAGAUACCCGGGUAGUC
rnacentral:rRNA from 1 species